rnacentral:misc_RNA from 1 species
UCCGGCUUGACGCCGGCAGUCCCCCGAGAGUCCUCAGCAUGACCUGUUAGUAACACGGGGCAAGGGUUGCGCUCGUUGCGGGACUUAACCCAACAUCUCACGACACGAGCUGACGACAGCCAUGCACCACCUGUGCACAGGCCCCGAAGGGCUGCCGUGUUUCCACGGCAUUCCUGUGCAUGUCAAGCCCAGGUAAGGUUCUUCGCGUCGCGUCGAAUUAAAGAACAUGCUCCGCUGCUUGUGCGGGCCCCUGUCAAUUCCUUUGAGUUUUAGCCUUGCGGCCGUACUCCCCAGGCGGGGCACUUGCGCGUAAGCUCAGCCAGCGACGGGGUCAAUCCGCCGCCAGCCAGCGCCCAUCGUUUACUGCCGGGACUAC